UGACACCUGUGGCUAAUUGAAGUGAAAUCAGAUCACAGAGGCCAUGAGACCCACGUCCAGAGGGCCCUAGGAGGGAGCUGUGGGCUCAGCUGGUUGAUUUACUCUGGCUUGGGUCGCUGCUACUGCUUUGAGGACAAUAAGCUUGGCCAUCACCAGACACCAGAGGAUGCUGAAGGGACAGCCGGCUAGACUAUUUCAUGGACUCUCUGAGCAUGUCCUAUUGCAGUCCAGGUACAAACUUUUCCUCCAGAAAUAGACAGAGGGAUGCUGCUUCCCAAUUUCAGCAAAGGCAGUGGAAAGAUCCC
rnacentral:lncRNA from 1 species